GGAAGGUCAGACAGCUGAAAUAAAGUCUCCUUCUACAGAGGGAAGGAAAAGCAGUAAACCCAGAGAGAAGCUUACCCACUCACAAGAGAUCAAGAGAAACAUGGCAUGGUGAUAUGAUUGUUAAUCCUGUGCUUUUGAUGAUCAGAAAACUGGAAUACAGAAGUCACCAGGUUCCAGAUGCCAUCAGGAUGCUGGCCAGGCUUCCCUGGAUUGAAGACCCCACCAAUGUGUCCUGGAGCUUAGCUUCCCCAGAGACACACCCUACUAGGGAAAGAGAGAGGCAGACUGGGAGUAUGGACCUACCAGUCAACGCCCAUGUUCAGCGGGGAAGCAAUUACAGAAGCCAGACCUUCUACCUUCUGCAACCCUCAAUGACCCUGGGUCCAUGCUCCCAGAGGGAUAGAGAAUGGGAAAGCUAUCAGGGGAGGGGGUGGGAUAUGGAGAUUGGGUGGUGGGAAUUGUGUGGAGUUGUACCCCUCCUACCCUAUGGUUUUGUUAAUUAAUUCUUUCUUAAAUAAAAAAAAAAACAAGGACAACAAAAGGGAAAUAAAUAAAUAUAAAAAAAUAAAAAAUAGUAUUAAAUCACUAAUAAUAAAAAAUAAGUUGAAAAGUAAGAAAACACAAAGCAGAACUUGGGCUGGAGUUGGUGUGUUGCACCACAGUAAAAGAUUCUGGGGUGGAGGAAGAAGGUUCAGGUCCUUGAACAGGAUGGUGGAGGAGGACCUAAAGAAGGUUGAAUUUUUAUGUGGAAAACUGAGAAAGGUUACACAUGUGCAGACUACUGUAUUUUACUGUUGAUUGUAAACCAUUAAUCCCCCCAAUAAAAAAAUAGAAAAUUCCUUAAAUAGCACUAAAGCAUUUCCAGAAAAGUGUGACUUUACUCUAAAGUCUUACAGCACUUAGAGUCAUUCAGCACUAUAAUGCUCUCACCAGUCAGAGCACAGCUACACAGAAAUAUCAAAGCAGAAAAAAAAAGGUCUUGAGCAGUCAGAAUAUAAGUAUACAUUCCAGGGGUGAGAGCUUAGGUAUUUAAAGGAAGUACUUCUCUCUCUUGGGGCCUAGUUACUCUCAUUUUAUACAAAAAAAUUUUAAGACUGGUAGUUAAACCUAAGGACUAUUAGAAACAACAGAUCAAGAGGAUAAAAAAAAAAAAAAUACCUAGACACUGGUAUCAGCUCC